GUUGCAGACUCUCUGUUCUGUAGAAUUCUUGUCUCUUAAGGACGUAGAGCCAGGGGCACAGAGAGCAAAGAGGGAGAUGGGCAAGGAUUUAUCAAGCAGAGGAAAACGUUCUCAGCGUUCUCAGGAAGAGGCUUCCUCUAGGGAUUUCUAAGUGGGUUUUAAAAGAGGAAAUGGGUUUUGACUGGUUCUUAUAUAUGUUAAUUAGGCGAGAAAGUAGGACCAAUCAGGAGAGAGCACACCAAACCUGAAAGGUUCUCAAUUAAAUCUGUGGCUCCACCCCUUGAUGUUACCAAGGAUAUGGGCAGGAUAUGUGUGUGUGUGUGUGUGUGUGUGUGUGUGUGUGUGUGUGUGUGCGCGCGCGCAUGGGAGAGCUGGUCCCUUUGGGUUUUACCCUAGAGAGACUAUAUACCUCCUGCCUGUCUUGGAGGCAUGGUCCUGACUUCCCUGUAGGUCACACCAACUCCUCUAGCUCCACAUACCACCCCAUCUGCUGAAAUAUUUUCUUCCUCUCUGACAAAGUAAGCAUUUACAGCGUCCUGGCUGUCCUGAUUGGAACUUUCUAGAAGGAAACUUGUAUCACAGGAGCUUGUCCUGAAGGCAGAGCCUGCUCCACGAUUUGAGGGACUUUCUUUUCUGGUGAUGGAGCGCCUGCUGCGUCUUUACAACUCCUAAUUGGCUCCAGCUGCUGCUGGGUGACUGGGAAGGUCUCAGAGAGGAUCCUCUUCCACCUUUUGUGCCAACAGAACAUGGGAGGGGACCCCUGCCCUGCCCCCCUGCUCUGCCUGCCCAUUUUCUAACUGUCUUUGAUCUGCCAUGACCACCACGGACACUCAGAAAAGUGAAGGCCUGGCCAUGCUGAAGGACUAUGGUGUGUUACCACCGAGAAGGAAUAUCCCUGGGGGACUUUUUUUCUGUUCUUCUCCGAGGUCACCUAGGCAGCUAGAGUCAUGUCAGGGUCUCCAUUCUUCAGUGUUUGACUGCUGCAGAGGAAUCACUCUGUGAGUCAUCAGGCAAGCGCUCUGAAACCCCAGAUGCAGGUGGGAUUCCCAUAGUUCCCUCAGCCGUACUCACAACAACACAACACAGCUGCCCGGACACUGUGGGGGUCAAGGACCCAAGCCUGCAUACUCUGGACAGGUGUCAUGCUGUGUGUGGCGGCCAUGGAGGUGUGUCUCCCUGUCUGUUCCCUCUUUUCUGCCCCUUUGUACUCCCAGGAGCUCCUUUCGGGUUUCCACUUCCUCAAGCCAUACCUCAGCCCUGGGCUUUAUCCAACCUGAGCCUUGCUCUGGGAAUCUUGUAGGAAGGUUCUGGAACAAAAGGGCAUGACUCACAAGACAGCUUCUGGAGGUGGCCUUCUACAGUUCAGGGAUUCCCCUGUGGGGGUGGGGUUUAUAUGCCCUUAGUAAGGCCAGAUGAUAGCAUAGGAGACCCCAGAGUGGAGGCUGUUGUUGGGACAACUUUCUGAGCCUGGGCACUCAAGUCUUUACAGCUCCAGGAAGCCACAUACGUUAAUUUGGGUCAAUAUUAUCCAAAUGACCACCUACUUUUUUUUUAAUGUGUGCAUAUGCAUGCACAUACAUGUCAAGGACAGAGGGGAAGCUGGGUAUCUUCCUCAGUCACUCUCCACCUCACUUUUUGAGCCAGCGUCUCUCACUGAACCCGAAGCUCACUGAUGAAGCCAGCGAGCUCCAGGAGUCUGCCUGUCUCCACCUCCCCAGUUCUCAGGAAACACGUUCAUGCCACCACAUGGGGGGCUGGGGGUGUGAACUCAGAUCCUCCUGCUUGAGCAGCUUGACGAUGGAGCCACCUCUCCAGCCCCAAACAUCCACUUUAAAAUGAACUUCUAGAGGGAGAUAGGAACCGAGAGAAAGGACAAUACCAAUGAGCUUGGGGUCAAGCCACUAAAUUCCAGAUGAGCGUGCAAGGACCGGAAGAUGCCCUGAUAGAUGCCAAGAACUUGAGAAGGUCCAGGGAGUCUGCGGGCCUCAGUUUACCCUGGCUGAAGUGAGGAAGCACCCUACUGCUGCUCUUUGCCACAUCUAUGUUAACAGCAACCCCGUCUGUGUCAGUGAGAUAGGGGGUCACCUUGGCAGAAACCCUAGUCAAUUAAGACAACUAAGAUGGCCACCUGGGUGACCAGCAGGUGGGCGGCAUACCCAGCACGAAGAUGCUGGACUGAGCAAUGGCUCACAGAGAGGGUGGGAUGCGGAGAACCGUGAGCUUUACCAUACCACUCAAUGGAAAAUUGGGAAUUUCUAUUUCUAGAAUUUUUCUACUUAACGUUUUGAGAAACUGGGAAGGAGACCUCACAGGAGGAGGCUGGAGUAUAAGCUAAGACCCCCAAGGUAGAAAAGCCUGGAAGAAAAUGUUAGCAGAUGUUCCCUGGAGCAGGUCUAUCCCUACCCACCAUCCACGUUUAGCUCCUAGCACCUUCAGUAGCCAGCAGAGUUACUGGAGUCCCUUCCUUCCUGGCUGAGAUGCCACCUGUUCACCUCCCCAGUGGUCGGACAAAGCAAGGCGACUCCUGGGGUACACUCGGAGUGGAGCACACAGAAGCAUGGGACGCCUUCCACCACGUCAGUGUAGGCACCUCAACCCUCCAUGUAAGCUUGCUCUCUGGAGCCAUCUCCAGCUCUAGGAUGAACACUGGCCAGGCCUCUGCAGGUAGCCUGAUCUCACAAAGGACCGAAAGAGAAACAGGCCGAGAGACAAAACAGAGAGAAGGGCAGAUCUUGCUCUGACCCUUCGACUUGGCUCUGCGGUCUGCACCUCGAGCUGGAAAUCCAGCAGAUCUCCCAGCCCACGUUCACAGCUAUGUUCACAGUGCUGCAAGGCCCUUUCAGCUAAACGAACUAGUGACACGUGAAAUCUAAUUAAAGGGCAAUUUAUACAUUUGCAGCUUUUCACAUUCUGUGCGAACAAUGAUCGUCCACAAGCCCCACAGUUAACUACAGUUUGCAUUAAAGUCCCCCCCACUUGGGGGACAUGUGACUAAUUAUUGUAAUCACUUCCGUUAAUAUGCAUGCCUAGCCUUUUGUGUCAUGCAAAUGUGACACCAAGCCAGCAUGAGGAAGUUACCGGAAAUCACUGACAGACAAAGACAAGCCAUUGUGAUCACGUUUCAUUUUGAGCAUAAAGACCCUCAACUUUUGAGACUGUGCUGUGCCCCCAAAGUCUGCUGGGCUGCUUUCCCUGGAAAGGCUCAGAGCAUUCGCUGGGAGGUUUGUUCUAGAAAACGAGGCUCUGGUGGGUAGCAGGGCUGGAAGGCUGUGAACAGCUCCUCUGACAGAGACUUCUGUAAGAACGGUGUGUUUAUGGGGUCUCUGCAGGACUUCUCUCUCUUCCUCCAAGGAGCUAUUUUAGCCCAUCUUUUCCCCUUGUGUGAACAUUUUUUUUUCCCACAGUAAGAACUAUCUUUCAUUACUUUGAGCUAGGUGCAAAGUGAGUCAUUAUUUGAGCUGUCUUCUCUCCAGCAGGAAAACACCAUUAUUAUCCCCAUUUUUCAGAUAAUAAAAAUGGAACAUGGUAAAAUAAAACAUGGAAAGGAAAA